GGCGUGAGCCGGGACUGCGCGGCGCCCGCGGAACCCUGCUUCUCGGCGUCGGUGUCCAGUCGGAAUUGGAUUCCGCGGGCAGGGCCGCGCUGCGUGGGGAAGGGUUGGGCCUGGGUGCUCCGCGGUGCCGGCGACUCCCCGGAGCUGCGGAGAGCCUUCGAGGGGCUGAGUAGAAGAGCGCGGGCGAGCGAGGGUUUCAGGAGGCUUCGGCCAAGCUCAGGGCGCCAAGGAGAAAGGACGGGAGGCACAGAGGAGCCAGGUACUCCAGUUGCUUUCCGCCGCUGAACUGUUCCACAAACUUGCAUGUCCCUGAGUGAGUUGGAUUUUUCAGGAUCUAGUUUAAGGCACUAAGAAGGAUAAGACGUCAGUAUGAAAAGCAACGUGAAUUCUGCUAAAAUUGAAGCAAGAACAAACAUCAAGUUUAUGGUGAAGCUUGGGUGGAAGAGUGGUGAAAUCAUUGAUGCUUUAAGAAAAGUUUAUGGGGACAGUGCCCCAAAGAAAUCAGCAGUUUACAAAUGGAUAACUCGUUUUAAGGAAGGACGAGAUGACGUUGAAGACGAAGCCCGCAGUGGCAGACCAUCCACAUCAAUUUGCGAGGAGAAAAUUAAUCUUGUUCGGGCCCUAAUUAAAGAGGACCGACGAUUAACAGCAGAAACAAUAGCCAACACCAUAGACAUCUCAAUUGGUUCAGCUUACACAAUUCUGACUGAAAAAUUGCAGUUGAGCAAACUUUCUGCUCGAUGGGUGCCCAGAUUGUUGCGCCCAGAUCAGCUGCAGACAGGAGCAGAGCUCUCAAUGGAAAUUUUAAACAAGUGGGUUCAAGAUCCUGAAGCAUUUCUUCGGAGAAUUGUAACAGGAGGUGAAACAUGGCUUGACCAGCGUGAUCCUGAAGACAAAACACAGUCAAAGCCGUAGCUACCAAGAGGCGGAAGUGGUCCAGUCAAAGCAAAAGCAGACUGGUCAGGAGUGGAGGUCGCAGAAACAGUUUUUUGAGUUGCUCAAUGCAUUUUGUUUGUUGACUUUCUGGAGGGCCAAAGAAUGAUAACGAGUGCUUAUGAUUUAUCAGAAAAACGCCUGGGAAAGCUUUACCAGAGAGUUCUUCUCCACCACAACAGUGCUCCUGCUCAUUCUUCUCUUCAAACAAGGGCGAUUUUGUGAGUUUUGAUGGGACAUCAUUAGGUAUCCACCUUAUAGUCCUGAUUUGGCUCCUUCUGACUUCUUUUCAUUUGCUAGUUUUAAAACAUCUUUAAAGGGCACCCAUUUUUCUUCAGUUAACAAAGUAAAAAAUGCUAUUGACAUGAUGAAAUUCCCAGGACCUCAGUUCUUUAGGGAUGGAGUAAUUGGCUGGUAUCAUUGUCUUGAACUUCAUGGAGCUUAUGUUGAGAAAUAGUUUUUGACUUUUUUCUUUUAAUCCCAUUUUUUCCACGAACUUUUUGAAGUCUCCUCACACACUGUAGAUGCUUGAUAAAUACCUAUUGAAUGAAUGAGUUUUCUGGCUGGAGCACCUAGAUGAAUUGGGUGCCAUUCUCUGAUUUAGGUAACAGAGGCAAGCUCAUUUGGGAGGUGACUGGUGGUUCAGUUUUGGACAUGUCCAGCUCAAGGUGCCUAUGAAACAUAUGCAUGAUAUUGUUCAGCUACAUGGUAAUUGGAAGAAUGAUUCCGAAACUCAAGAAGACUGCUCUGAGGUGAAUUCUUUGCAUACUUAAAAAGAGUUUGUAUUAUAUCAAAUGAUACAUUUGAGCCUGUUUCCACUAUGGCACAAUGCUGGUUCUUAAUGACCUUUGAUUCCCCAGCACCUACCACCAUUCCUGGCGCAAACUGGGCACCAUUCAACCUGUUGUUGAACUGAACUAUUCCUUUUAAACACAGUACAUCUAACAUGAGAAAGUAGUAGUAGUAGCCACUGAAGAGAGAAACUGGGGGAUCAGGGUGAAAAAGAGACUUUUUUUUUUAUUGUAUGUGUUUUGGUUCCUUUUCCUUCCCCCUCCCCAUGUGCUUAUAUUUCCUGAGAAAUAAAAGG